rnacentral:rRNA from 1 species
UCCUACGGGAGGCAGCAGUGGGGGAUAUUGCACAAUGGGGGAAACCCUGAUGCAGCGACGCCGCGUGAGUGAAGAAGUAUUUCGGUAUGUAAAGCUCUAUCAGCAGGGAAGAUAAUGACGGUACCUGACUAAGAAGCACCGGCUAAAUACGUGCCAGCAGCCGCGGUAAUACGUAUGGUGCAAGCGUUAUCCGGAUUUACUGGGUGUAAAGGGAGCGUAGACGGCAAAGCAAGUCUGAUGUGAAAGCUAUGGGCUCAACCCAUAAACUGCAUUGGAAACUGUUUAGCUAGAGUGUCGGAGAGGUAAGUGGAAUUCCUAGUGUAGCGGUGAAAUGCGUAGAUAUUAGGAGGAACACCGGUGGCGAAGGCGGCUUACUGGACGAUAACUGACGUUGAGGCUCGAAAGCGUGGGGAGCAAACAGGAUUAGAUACCCUGGUAGUCC